UACGUAGGGGGCAAGCGUUGUUCGGAAUUACUGGGCGUAAAGCGCACGUAGGCGGAAAUUUAAGUCGGGGGUGAAAUCCUGGAGCUCAACUCCAGAACUGCCUUCGAAACUGGCGAUCUUGAGUCCGGGAGAGGUGAGUGGAACUGCGAGUGUAGAGGUGAAAUUCGUAGAUAUUCGCAAGAACACCAGUGGCGAAGGCGGCUCACUGGCCCGGUACUGACGCUGAGGUGCGAAAGCGUGGG
rnacentral:rRNA from 1 species